GAAUAUUGCGCAGUGGGGGGAACCCUGACGCAGCGACGCCGCGUGAGCGAUGAAGGCCUUCGGGUCGUAAAGCUCUGUCCUCAGGGAAGAAGAAAGUGACGGUACCUGAGAAGAAAGCCCCGGCUAACUACGUGCCAGCAGCCGCGGUAAUACGUAGGGGGCGAGCGUUGUCCGGAAUUAUUGGGCGUAAAGGGUGCGUAGGCGGCUUCUUAAGUCAGAUGUGAAAGACCACAGCUUAACUGUGGGGUUGCAUUUGAAACUGGGGAGCUUGAGUUUCGGAGAGGGUAGUGGAAUUCCCGGUGUAGCGGAGAAAUGCGCAGAUAUCGGGAGGAACACCAGUGGCGAAGGCGACUACCUGGACGACAACUGACGCUGAGGCACAAAAGCUAGGGGAGCAAACAGG
rnacentral:rRNA from 1 species